AUAGUUGAGAUUCCAAUUCGAAAUUCAUAUUGCAGUGAUGAAUAACUAUUCCCUGUGGCAAGAUAUCUGUAAAAAUAAAAUUAUAUUAUUUAUUUACAGUGAAAACCAUCAAAUCGCGAUGGAAAACAUUAAGGGAUAAUUAUAGACGUGAACAUCUCCGUCAAGAAAAUGUGCGUAGUGGAUCGGGAGCUAAAGUUUCCCGGACAUACUGCCAUUAUGCUGAGCUACAAUUCUUGAAGCCAGUCAUGCAGCAGAGACCAACUGAAAGCAAUUUCAGCUCAGACAACACUGAGGACGAGGAGCAAGACCAUGAACCCGGGACUAGUGAGACCAAUGAACCGCAGGAUUUUGAGAAUGAAGAUCUACAGGACACUGUACAGCCACCCAAAAAGAGGGGAACGUACAGAAAA